UACAGAGGGGGCAAGCGUUGUUCGGAAUUACUGGGCGUAAAGGGCGCGUAGGCGGCCUUCUAAGUCGAACGUGAAAUCCCCGGGCUCAACCCGGGAACUGCGUCCGAUACUGGAAGGCUUGAAUCCGGGAGAGGGAUGUGGAAUUCCAGGUGUAGCGGUGAAAUGCGUAGAUAUCUGGAGGAACACCGGUGGCGAAGGCGGCAUCCUGGACCGACACUGACGCUGAGGAGCGAAAGCCAGGGGAGCAAACGGG
rnacentral:rRNA from 1 species